UAAGUAGGUUGUAGCUCGGUGA
rnacentral:miRNA from 1 species